rnacentral:rRNA from 1 species
GAUGAACGCUAGCUACAGGCUUAACACAUGCAAGUCGAGGGGCAGCAUGGGAUUAGCUUGCUAAUCCUGAUGGCGACCGGCGCACGGGUGCGUAACGCGUAUCCAACCUGCCCUCUACUCCGGAACAGUCCGUCGAAAGGCGGAUUAAUGCCGGAUGGUGUCCCAUGCCCGCAUGAGUGUGUGACUAAAGGCAACGGAAGAGGAUGGGGAUGGGACUGAUUAGCUUGGUGGCGGGGUAACGGCCCACCAAGGCAACGAUCAGUAGGAGUUCUGAGAGGAAGGUCCCCCACAUUGGAACUGAGAUACGGUCCAAACGCCUACGGGAGGCAGCAGUGAGGAAUAUUGGUCAAUGGGCGAGAGCCUGAACCAGCCAAGUAGCGUGCGGGAAGACGGCCCUAUGGGUUGUAAACCGCUUUUGAUUGGGAACAAAGAGCGCCACGUGUGGUGCGUUGCGUGUACCUUUCGAAUAAGCAUCGGCUAAUUCCGUGCCAGCAGCCGCAGUAAAAC